GAGCAGCUCCCUCGCUGCGAUCUAUUG
rnacentral:piRNA from 3 species